AUUUUGGAGGGCAAGUCUGGUGCCAGCAGCCGCGGUAAUUCCAGCUCCAAUAGCGUAUAUUAAAGUUGUUGCAGUUAAAAAGCUCGUAGUUGAAUUUCGGGGUCAGUAGAUUGGUGGUGCCUCUGGUAUGUACUGGUCUUACUGGCUCCUCCUUCCUGAUGAACCGUAAUGCCAUUAAGUUGGUGUUGCGGGGAGACUGGACUGUUACUUUGAAAAAAUUAGAGUGUUUAAAGCAGGCUAACGCUUGAAUACAUUAUCAUGGAAUAAUGAAAUAGCACGUUCGAUCUUAUUUUGUUGGUUUCUAAGAUUGACGUAAUGAUUAAUAGGGAUAGUUCGGGGCAUUAGUAUUCAAUUGACAGAGGUGAAAUUCUUGGAUUUAUUGAAGACUAACUACUGCGAAAGCAUUUGCCAAGGAUGUUUUCAUUUAUCAAGAACGAAAGUUAGGGGAUCGAAGACGAUCAGAUACCGUCGUAGUCUUAACCAUAAACUAUGCCGACUAGGGAUCGGAUGAUGUUUAAUUUUUAAUGACUCAUUCGGCGCCUUACGGGAAACAUC
rnacentral:rRNA from 1 species